rnacentral:rRNA from 1 species
UACGUAGGGUGCGAGCGUUAAUCGGAAUUACUGGGCGUAAAGCGUGCGCAGGCGGUUUUGUAAGCCAGGUGUGAAAUCCCCGGGCUCAACCUGGGAAUGGCAUUUGGGACUGCAAGGCUGGAGUGCGGCAGAGGAGACUGGAAUUCCUGGUGUAGCAGUGAAAUGCGUAGAUAUCAGGAGGAAUACCGAUGGCGAAGGCAGGUCUCUGGGCUGACACUGACGCUCAUGCACGAAAGCGUGGGAGCAACAGG